AGAGUUGUUCGGGCUGUCGCGGCUGGCUUUGGGUCAGUCGAGGAAAGUCCGGGCUCCAUAGGGCACAGUGGUGGCUAACGGCCACCGAGGGCGACCUCAGGGAUAGUGCAACAGAAAACGAACCGCCUAAGUGGCUUCGGCCACCGGCAAGGGUGAAAAGGUGAGGUAAGAGCUCACCGCGCGUUUGGUGACAAACGUGGCAGUGUAAACCCCACUGGGAGAAAGCCCGAAUAGGGAGGGGAGGCGCGGCCCGCGCUGUUUUUAACCUCCGGGUAGGGCGUUUGAGGCCAACGGCAACGUUGGCCCCAGAGAAAUGGCAGUCACUUCUUCGGAAGGACAGGACCCGGCUUAAAGGACAACUCUCCAU
rnacentral:RNase_P_RNA from 1 species